UCCCCUUUCUGCUUUGGUCUUUUGUACAGAGACAGGCUGGGUCUUUUCUAUUGCAUUGACUUUAGGUGAGGUUCUCCCCUGGUUUUCAUCCGUGGGGUGUACAGUGGUCAAGAGCAGAAGAAAGACAUGGACCUGCUUGAGCGGGUCCAGAGCAGGGCCACAGAGGUGAUGAGGGGGCUGGAGCAGGUGUCAGUAGCUGAGGUGUCUGAAGUUAGGUCCCCUGCACGCUAUCAACGAGUCUGUGACAAAUAG